AAGGGCGCUACCUCCUUCUCCCUCUCCGGUACCAGCACCGGAGAAGAAACACACGGAGCAGCCCCCGUUCGACCCAAGGGACGGAGAGAAAUCUGGUCGGUUUCCGGUUCAGACCGCGCUUGAUCCGAAUUAGGCACUUGAGGUUGUUGGGUCGAUGGGAUUUGCGGAGAAGGUGAAACAGUGGGCUGGGUAGCAACGGAAGAAACGGGUUUGGGAGAGGGACGGGUCAGAACCAGCAUACG
rnacentral:lncRNA from 1 species